CUCUCCGGCGGGGAAUCGAACCCUAGUCGCCCGCGUGACAGGCAGGAAUACUAACCACUAUAGUACCUAGGA
rnacentral:tRNA from 1 species